ACUGGCGCUUGUUUCCGGCCGGACAGCCGAAAGCCACCGAUCCUGAACCAGCCGCCGGAGCCGGAGUGGCGACCGGGUGUGGAGCGGGCAAAAAGCCGCUGGGGAAGCCAGUCCCGCUCAGUCCCUUCUGGCUCCAGCUCCAGAUCCUGUGCGGAGCAACAGCUGCGGUCGCAGUCUCCACCACCGCCUCCGCCUCCAUCGCCGUCGGGGGAGGGGCCGGCCGGACCCCGGGGUCACUGCCGAGGAAUGAGGAGAGGCGGCCGGGCCCCGCGCUCCGCCCCGGCCUAGGGCCUUGCCCCGGGAGCCGCGAGGGUAGAGGCCUGAAUUUUGAACUUUGAUCUACCUACAUCCAGCUGCCUGAAAGUACUUAAUGAUCACAUGACCUUGGACAUGGAUGCUGUCCUGUCGGAUUUUGUCCGUUCCACAGGAGCAGAGCCAGGGCUGGCGCGAGAUCUCCUAGAAGGAAAGAAUUGGGAUGUGAGUGCUGCCCUCAGUGAUUUCGAACAGCUACGUCAAGUCCAUGCUGGGAACCUACCUCCAUCCUUUAGUGAAGGAAGUGGUGGCUCCAGGACCCCUGAAAAAGGAUUUUCUGACAGAGAGCCUACUCGCCCUCCCCGUCCCAUCCUACAACGGCAGGAUGACAUCGUUCAAGAAAAACGCCUGUCUAGGGGCAUCUCCCACGCCAGCUCCAGCAUUGUUUCCCUGGCCCGGUCCCAUGUCUCCUCCAAUGGUGGGGGUGGGGGGAGCAAUGAGCACCCCCUGGAAAUGCCCAUCUGUGCCUUCCAGCUUCCAGAUCUUACUGUGUAUAAUGAAGACUUCCGCAGCUUCAUAGAGAGAGAUCUCAUUGAGCAGUCCAUGCUGGUCGCCUUGGAACAGGCAGGGCGUUUGAACUGGUGGGUGAGUGUGGACCCCACCUGUCAGAGGCUGCUUCCUUUGGCAACAACUGGAGAUGGGAACUGCCUCCUGCAUGCAGCCUCCCUUGGGAUGUGGGGUUUCCAUGAUCGAGACUUGAUGCUGCGAAAAGCUUUGUAUGCACUGAUGGAGAAGGGAGUUGAGAAGGAAGCAUUGAAAAGGCGCUGGAGGUGGCAGCAGACACAGCAGAAUAAAGAGUCAGGGCUGGUAUACACAGAGGAUGAAUGGCAGAAGGAGUGGAAUGAACUCAUCAAGCUUGCCUCCAGUGAACCCCGAAUGCAUCUCGGUACCAAUGGAGCCAACUGUGGUGGGGUGGAGAGUUCUGAGGAGCCUGUAUAUGAGAGCCUUGAAGAGUUUCACGUCUUUGUCCUGGCUCAUGUGCUUAGAAGGCCCAUAGUCGUUGUGGCAGACACCAUGCUGAGGGACUCUGGAGGGGAAGCGUUUGCCCCUAUUCCCUUCGGAGGAAUCUAUCUGCCCUUGGAGGUCCCAGCCAGCCAGUGUCACCGCUCCCCUCUGGUGCUCGCCUAUGAUCAGGCCCACUUUUCUGCACUAGUGUCCAUGGAGCAGAAGGAGAAUACCAAGGAACAAGCUGUGAUCCCACUUACAGAUUCAGAGUAUAAGCUGCUGCCCUUGCACUUUGCCGUGGACCCUGGAAAGGGCUGGGAGUGGGGCAAAGAUGACAGUGACAAUGUCCGAUUGGCCAGUGUAAUUCUGUCUCUAGAGGUCAAAUUACAUCUGCUACAUAGCUACAUGAAUGUGAAGUGGAUCCCACUGUCCUCUGAUGCACAGGCUCCUCUGGCCCAGCCUGAGUCCCCCACUGCCUCAGCGGGAGAUGAGCCCCGGUCUACUCCUGAGUCUGGAGACUCAGAUAAGGAGUCAGUUGGCAGCAGCUCCACCAGUAAUGAGGGCGGCCGGCGAAAGGAGAAGUCAAAGCGAGAUCGGGAGAAAGACAAGAAGAGAGCAGACUCUGUGGCUAACAAACUGGGCAGCUUUGGAAAAACCUUGGGCAGCAAGCUCAAAAAGAACAUGGGGGGCCUGAUGCACGGCAAGGGUUCGAAACCUGGAGGGGUGGGGACAGGGUCCGGGGGAAGCAGUGGCACUGAGACACUGGAGAAGAAGAAGAAAAACGCACUGAAGAGCUGGAAGGGUGGCAAGGAGGAGGCAGCUGGGGAUGGGCCUGUGUCUGAGAAGCCCCCAGCUGAGUCUGUUGGUAACGGAGGGAGCAAGUAUAGCCAGGAGGUGAUGCAGAGCCUGAGCAUUCUGAGGACUGCCAUGCAAGGGGAGGGGAAGUUUAUUUUUGUUGGAACCCUGAAGAUGGGUCAUCGUCACCAGUAUCAGGAGGAGAUGAUCCAGCGCUACCUUUCUGAUGCUGAGGAGAGAUUCCUGGCAGAACAGAAGCAGAAGGAGGCAGAGAGGAAGAUCAUGAAUGGAGGAAUAGGGGGUGGCCCUCCUCCAGCCAAAAAGCCAGAGCCAGAUGCUGGGGAGGAGCAGCUGACUGGCCCCCCAGCAGAGUCCAAGGCAAUGGCAUUUUCUACUGGCUACCCUGGGGGCUUUACUAUCCCUCGGCCUUCUGGGGGUGGAGUCCACUGCCAGGAACCCCGGAGGCAGUUGGCAGGGGGUCCAUGUGUCGGGGGCCUACCACCAUAUGCCACCUUCCCCAGACAGUGCCCUCCUGGGCGACCCUACCCCCACCAGGACAGCAUCCCUUCUCUGGAGCCAGGCAGUCAGUCUAAGGAUGGAGUUCACAGGGGUGCAUUGUUACCACCCUCCUACCGAGUGGCUGAUUCCUAUAGCAAUGGCUACAGAGAGCCCCCUGAGCCAGACGGAUGGGCUGGAGGUCUCCGGGGGCUUCCCCCCACCCAGACCAAAUGCAAACAACCGAACUGCAGCUUCUAUGGACACCCCGAGACAAACAACUUCUGUUCCUGUUGUUACAGGGAAGAACUGAGGCGGAGGGAACGGGAGCCGGGUGGGGAGCUCCUGGUGCACAGGUUUUGAACAGUUGGAACACUGAAGGGCAAGGAGGCUGAACAAAGUUAAGCUCAACUAAUUGGCUCAUCAAGAACAGUCCCCAUGCUGAUGGGGCAAAUGCAGUAAUGUUUGUGGGAGCCUGGCUGGAAACUUUCAAGUAUGUGCGCACAGGAGUGCUGCCAGGCUGGCAGGAGCAGGUUGGGGCUGGAUGGCGCCUCAAGGGCUGCACUAUUUCUCUGCAGAGCUUGACUUUACGGGACUGAGGUGCAAGGGGGAAAGAUGGCGAUUCUGUCUUAUAACCUCCUGGGUCCCAUCCAAGGACCUAAGAGGAAGUAGUAUGAGAAGGUUUGGUGUGUGGGGGUGGGAGGUGGGCAGAAGUCUUGGGGAGAAAUGGGCAAAGGAAGUUCUCAGUCAAUAAAAAAUAGACCAAAGUUCAUUAGGUUGGGGAAAGCACAUGGUGGUGGAGUGGGAAGUGUGGAGCGGAAGCAGGAAAUUGGACACAUUUGCUAUUGAUUUGAAUUAAGGUAGACAUUAGGGUUGGAUAAAUUCUUCCCCUUGAAGGAUCUGGAAAGACAAGGCAGUGAUAUGUGCUCAUGGGUGCCUGUUAGGAGGUGGGGGUAGUUUAAAUCCUUUGGUUGAGAUGGGAAAGGGAGGAACUUAAAAGGGAAAUCCUUUUCCUCUUAAGCUUUAUUUCCUUGCAGUCAUGUGUCAUCUGUUACAGUUUGAGAAGAGUUGAGAAGAGAUUGCUGAUUACUCCCCAUCUUUUCCUCACCUAAAUCUUUAAUUGUAUUUUUUUAAGUUCCCUGUGGGAAAGGGAAGAGCAUGGUGAGAAGAGCAGUCAUGUGUGUUGCAUUUUCUCCAGGUGAAUUGGGGCAGAGGUGAUCUAUUUUUUAACCAUAGCAAUAACCAUACAUUGGGAUUUGAGCACACCUUGGGCGGGGCGGGAGGACAGACAUUUUAGCCAGAUUGUUUUAAACAAAACCAAAAACCUAAAUAGAGCACUACCAUCCUCUGUGGCUGCUGCAUUUCUGUAGAAAGAACUUAUUUUAUUGACUUUUUUUUUUUAAGGAAAAGAAACAAAAAGACCCCAACAAGCAAAAACAUUUUAAAAAAUGAUUUUUUCUCCUACUUAAGUGGUUCCUUCUCCUUUUUCUCUACUUUUGGAGAAUGAACUUUAACAUCCUGGCUUCUUUUGUUAAGCCAUAGCUGACCUUAAUCUGUGGUUAGUUUAUUAAAAUAAUUAAAAAUACUUUGUAAGAAGAGAUAUUUUUGAUAUUAGGACUGAUGUUGAAAUAUGGGGUGGGGAUUAGGGGCAAUUUAUAAAAAGGUAGAUAGAGAAAUAUAUUUUAGUGAACUAUAACCACAGAGCACAGAUAACUCCCAAUGAGCUGAUCUGUCUUUAGAUUUCUCCCUCUCCUUGACCCAUCCCUGUUCUCCAGGGGCUGGGAGUGGGGAUGUGGACACAGUAGGGGGAGCUCCUUUGCAUUUUGCACAAAGCACAAGUCUGGACAGCCGAUGCUCUGGCCAGAGCCAUUUCUAAGAGCUUUAAACCGGAAGACCCAUCCUGGGCCAAGUUUCCUUUUUCUUUAUAUUUUUUUCCGGGAAAAAAAAAGUCAACUAUGCAAUUGUAUACACUCCCGGGUGCAUGUGAGGAAGGGGAAUAAGUGUACUUAAUGUGUCCAGAGUAUUAACAGGCUGUUUUUCUGUGUUUGGAUUUCUCUUUUGAGGUAUGUACUCAUAACUCAUCCCAUGGAAUGGAGUCCCCACAUUUGAUCUAAAGCAGUUGCACGUGCAUGUGCGUGCGUGCGUGUGUGCGUCUUCCUUCUUGGUACCCAGUCAAGACUGUCCUUGUUGGAAAUGCUCACGGUUUAGAAAGGUUCUUUUCUCCUCAACAAUCUCAGAAGUCACCUAUUUAAUUUCCUAUGGCUAUUAAUUCUUAGGGUUUUCUUUGAAAAUAGGUUUGUUUUAAGGAAGCAGUGAGAUUCCAAAGGAAGGGAUGUGUAUAUGUCUGGACAGGUCUGGAACCUGGUAUGCGAUGAGCACUCCCCUAAGGUGCAAAAUUUAAGGGGCUACCAUAAAAAACUCAUUCAGCAACAUACUUAAAAAAAUGCAGUAUUUUAAAAAAUUAUUGCAAAAAAAUUAUGUUGAAUAAAGUAGCGAAAUCUUACAGGAUCUGACAGGACUGGGAUUAGGAGGAGGGAAGUGAGGCUGAAUUGAAUAAGUAUGGGGAUGAAUCCUCUUUAAAUAUUUGAUACAUUGUCCAUCAUAGUUUUUUUACAUUAAUUUUGAUUUUUUUUCCCCAUGGAUAUUUCAGAUAAAGUGAAUUAAUUUUGAUUUUUUAAAAAUAUUGCAUUAAAGUAGUAUUCAUCUUGGUUACUGGGUUUUUUGGGCACUCUUUAAAUUUUGUGCCCAAGGCGACUGCCUUGCUCACCUCACCCUAGUUACGUCCCUAUUUCUGUGAUUUGAACAACGCUAGUGAGAACACCACUGUGUGGGCCUCCAUCCCCAUCACACACCAAACAACAGGUGGCUCAAACACCCUGAAUUUGCACAACUCACCUAGCUUUCCUAAUUUAGGCCUUCAUACCAUAGGAUGCUGGCCUGGACCAAUAGAAAUUAAAACAGACCAGGGGUUUUCCCAGAGAAGAAAGCCAGAAAAGUUUUGAUUCUCCACUGGACUGCUGUGUUUGGAUUUGAUCUGUUAUUAGAUUCUAGUUAAUACUUUUGUUUUUAAAAACUGAGGACAAAUGAACAAAAACAAAACCUUGUAUCAUGUUUGUUUUUGUUUCUAUUUAUAAAUUAGCCAAUCCCAGUUCCUUUUGCCUUCUUUUCAAAUAAAAGAUGGAAAUUUUGAAGGGUGGUCUAGGGAUUAAUAUGGUAAAAUGGGGCUUUAGGCCUUAUAGCUUUUUAUUAAGAAAUAAAUUAUUUUUUAUUUGGGAAGGUAACUAUUUAUUGAGACAUUGAAAAACCUCUCCAUUCUAAGGAUGAAAGACCCUGAGACAAUGGAUAUAUUUUUAUAGGAGAUAGCGAAGUUUGUUUUGCUUCAUUAUUUGGGGGAAGGGCUCAGUGGGAUGUUGGGGAAGUGAAGGAAUAAUGCCUGGGAAAUUAAUAUAGACUCAGCUUGGUUUGUGGUAUUUGGGGAAGAGGAGAGAAUAGAAGAGACAAGCCCAUGCCUUUACUGGAUUGGGGAGAAGAAAAGAAGGGGCAUAUGACAUGCACUCAAAAUGGGCAGAAAAUUCCUUAGUUACAGAGUGAUAUGUGAGUGAAGAGAGAAGGCAGACCCUUUAACCGUAGGUGAGGGAUGAUACCAUCUCUCAGACUUAAAUUUAAGUGCACUUAUUUCCUUUAAUCCAGGGCAACUGGGGUACCUACUGAAGUUUUUAAUGGAGGGAGCUUUUCAGGGUUCUUAUUUUUCCCUUUUGAUGUUAGUGCUCCUCCCUCCCUGCCACGCUCUGCCCCGUCUCCAAUGGAUUGCAGCCAAGACAGGAAACUUUGAAAGCUGAGGCCAGAAGGGUGGUGUACCAGGGGAGGAGAAAAUUGAGUGUCACUUUGGAAAACUGGGGCCCCAACCUAAGGAUUGCUGCCUCUGUAGAUUCAAAAGCAAUAAAACAGCAGCACAUUAACUCUUA